rnacentral:rRNA from 1 species
GGAUUAGAUACCCUGGUAGUCCACGCCGUAAACGAUGAGUACUAGUUGUUGGUAGGAUUGACCCUAUCAGUUACGUAGCUAACGCAUUAAGUACUCCGCCUGGGAAUUACGGUCGCAAGACUAAAACUCAAAGGAAUUGACGGGGGCCCGCACAAGCGGUGGAUUAUGUGGUUUAAUUCGAUGAUACCCGUAGAACCUUACCUGGACUUGACAUAUAGGGUCUAGCUAUAGAGAUAUAGUGUGCAUUAGCGCCCUAUACAGGUGGCGCAUGGCUGUCGUCAGCUCGUGUCG